UAGGCAGGCUCUGUAAGGCUGUGGUCUUUCUGUCUCGUGUUUGACCUUCAGUCUGCAGGCCACGGGCAGGUCUGGAAGGCAGUGAAAGUGGAGGAGAGUAAGAGAAACUGGAACCCAUAAGCCUGAGCUGGAGCCCACAAGGACAGACUGGAACCUGGGAAGUCGAGGCAGCAUCUCUCCUGCCCAAGGGUCUGCUACCCUACCCAAGGGUAUUGCAACGUCUGCUCAGGUACCAGAAACGAGAGAGGGCAAGAGCCUCACCCCACGACUCAACCAGUUUGAGCCACAGCGCUGCCAGCCCAAGCUGGGACGGCUUCCGCCACGCCCCACACCAAGAUGCUGUGCGCAUGUGCUUCUGGCCCAGACCCAGCCGACGUAGGCGCCAGGGUGGACUCUAGACUUCUUGGAAGGUUGGCAGUUUGGUCCAGUUUGGAAGAUAAAGAAAACAAGGUGUGCGAGUUGCUUCCUCUGAAAUGACUGCUCCAACUUUAUUUCAAUAUGGCUCCACUCACGUCAUCUCUCACCAUUCAAUUCGGUAUUUAUUGAUAGGCAUUCAUUUCCUUAAGUAGUGAAGAACCGUCUUUAGCCAAGUGCUUUUCCUCAGCUGAUACACAGUCUCUUCUAUUUCUGGGUCUCAUGUGAAGUAACACUUUUUCAUGAUGACAAUCUAGGGGUAAUAAAAAGAGUGGAAAGAGGAGCAUAGGUAUUUAUCUUGUUUUGAUAAUUAUUUAACUUAGCAUUUAUCUUGUUUUGAUAAUUAUUGAUAUAUGGUGUUUUUUGAUAUAUGUGAUAAUUAUUAACAUAUAAAUAAUGUCAUUUUAUUAAUAUAAAAGUUAACUCUACCUUCCGGUUAUUCCCAACUCCUCUUAAUCAAAAGUUUAGGAAUGAGAUAAUAGUGAAAACUGGCUUGCUCCCCGCCUUUUUCAUGUAAUUGUUGCAUCAUUUCUUCCCUACAAAAUAUGGUUACCAUGGACAUGGUAAGGUGAUCAUUCUGAGGUCAACAGUAAAGAGAAAAUGGGAGAGAUAGAUUAGCACAAGAACAUGGUCAGAGGGUGCAGUUUCCUUUUAUGAGGACACGGGGUUAAGAAAUUAAGUAACAUAUAUUUCGAACCCCUCUCACAAGUGGAUGUUGAAUGUUAUUUUCCUAAAAUGUUAUAAACUUCAUUAGAUUAUUUAAAUUAAACUUCCAGUCUAUUACAAAUUAAAUGUUAAUAAUUCAGGCUAAUAUUAAUAAAAAGAGAGGUAAGUCAGGGCAAAAGAAAAUGUUCCCUCCACAAAAAAAAGAAUUUUAAUGAAAAGAGGACACAAGAAUCUUUAUUAUAAAAUAUUCAGUUAUUAUUAGCUUCUAAAUAAGUGCAAAUACAUGGAAAGGCUUAUGGUCAAAAAGUAAUAAUCAGUACUUUCUGCUCAAUUUUGCUGUGAAUCUAAAACUGCUCUAAAAAUAAAUUCUGAAAAAAUAAAAUAAAAUACUGAACUUGGGCAUGUUCAUGUACCAUUGGCCACUUAGAAAUCCUAUUCAUCCCCAUGCUGAAGUCAUGCCUCCCUUUCUUUAUGAGGUAGAGGCACAGUGUGCAAUGGUUAAGGAGGGGUGCUAAACUGGACGAUGUGAGUUCAAACCCUGGCUUCACCACUUUUAGCUGUGUGACACUGGGCAAGUUAUUUAACCUCUCUGCGACUUAGUUUUCUCAUUUGUAAAGUGGAGUGUACCAGUAUCUACUAUUGCAUAACACAUCACCCCAAAACUUAGUGGUUGAAAACAAUAAACAUAUUAUCUCACAAUUUCUUUGGGCCAAAAAUUCUGAAACAGCUUCAUUGGGUGGUUCUGGUUUGGGGUCUCUUGCAAAGUUGCUGUCAAGAUGUGAGCUGGGUUGCGGUCAUUAAAGACUGUCUGGGGCUGAGGCUUCGGAGAUGGCUCACUCAUGUGGUGCUGGUUGUUGGCUGGAGGCCUCAGUUGCUGCCCACUUGGGCUUCUUCGGGCUGCUUGAGUCUCCUCACAAGAUGGUGAUGCUUUAGCAAGAAUCCCCCUACCCUUCAUGUCUCUUAGGAAUUUUCCAUCCACUGAGCUCCCUUCACUCUGCUUGUUGGCUAUAAAACCCCAGCUGUCUUUACUGCAUUCAGAGUUAAGCUCAAUCCCUCAUCCCUAUUGCGAUAGUCUUGACACGGAUCACAAUAAAGUCUCUCUUGCCAUUCUAGCAAGUAUUAGAAUAAUUUUUUCUUUAACACACUCCAGGGCAGAGUCCUUUGUAAGUUACCUAGUUCCAGCUCAUGUCUACUGGUCCACAAAGCCCAGAGGUGUCUCCUGCAUCCUUGGCCUGACACACUCUGGGGGUGCAGGCCCAUCUCUUGGUUCUGCUGCUGAGUCAGGACAUGUAGAUUCUCCAGUAUUUUCUGCUCAGGGAGUCUGACAUCACCCUCCACAGCUCAAAUACCAAGGGCACAGGUCAAGCUCUCUGGUUUUCUUGAAGCUUCCUUUCACUUGGCUUAAAAUGAGGAAGAAACAACUCCUUCUCCCCGUUGGUGGAGGAUGGGACAUAUAGGCUUUUCUCUUUGUACCCUGAAGCUAGGUAGGUUGGCUAAUUCAGGCAGAACAGGUUUGGGAGCCACUCCUUUUGCAAGUCUGGCAUAGAUUAGCACUUAGCAUAAGGGUACCUAGCACCUAUUGUGCCCAACCUCCACCAAAACUCUGAGCCAAGGGACAUUAAAAUGGAUCAUGAGGGGAAAGCCAGUGACUGAAAACACUUCUAAGGUACUCCUUUCAAAGGGAGUGCCUUUUGAUCUCAAGUCCCUUGCUGGGCCACUGCCAAGAUGUGACUCUGGAUAGGAAAUUUAUACAUACCAAUUCCAAAGGUGUUUGUUAUUGUGAUGCAACAAGACAUUUGAAUGACCAGUAUUUUUCCUUGCCUUUGCACAAAUCUCGCACUUUUCAAAUAUGUCUGCUGUUAAUUGAAAAGAGUAAAAUGGGAUCUAUAUAAAUUAUACUCAAUCUAAAUGCUUUCAUAAUCAGUGAUGGUGGCCUUGUGUGUCAUGACUUACAUUCUCUAUAUUUGUCUUGGGUUGCUUGCUCAAUGAUGUAACACCACAUUCCUACAGUUCCCGUGUCUGCCCCUUACAGCAGUCUUUCUCUGAUGAGAUAAAUCUCACUUUCUGCAAUUUAAGAUAUUUUGUAAUUUGUGACUGGUUUCAUUCUCAAGAAUGUAUCUGAACAGUAAAUUCUAAGACAACGACCCUAAAAUAAUUGUUGUCAAUCCAGCAGUUUUUAACUUUUGAAGGGGAUCAGUAUAUGCCACCUCAAAAUAUACCACUUUGGCAUAUUGAUUAUUUCGAGCUGAAGGCAAUUGAGAAAUAGCAGACCCCGGAAGAGCUCUCUGCCCUCCUCCUUUCUGCCUCAGAGCAGGGCAUCCAUUUCCCUCUGUAAGGGUGACAUAACUUUGUAUUUGUAACGGUGUUCCCCUCUCCAGGAAAACUGAGAUGAGUCUGCAUAACAAACCUUGCUAAACAACCCUUAAUUACCAUACAUUUCUUAGUCACAAUUUAUUGCCCCUAGAGCCCAAACCCCCUUUCCUUGUUUACUCACUUCUCUACAACUUAUUGCCCUUUCUUAAAAUUAUAUAUAAGCCUCCAAGUCUAACUGCUUCUUUGGGUUUUCACUUCUUUUCUGUAAAGCCCUUGUGAACAUAAAAAUAUUAACAUCAAUAAAAAAAAGUAUACCUUUUCUCCUGUUAAUUAGUCUUUUGUCAGCUUAAUUUGCAUGCUCCAGUAAAAGAAUUUAAAAGUUUGGAAGAGAAGCUUUUUCUUUGUUACACUUUGGGUUAAUAUCCUCUUAAAAAUAACUGGAAAAAUAAAAGAUUUGGUAAAGAAUUAGGUUUUUAUUGAUGGAGUUCAGGACAUGCUACCCCACAAUGUGGCACCUUGACAUAGUGAUAUUUCAAGUUGAAGGAAUUUGAGAAACAGCUCUUGCAAGGAAGGAAUCUCCAAGUUUCCCCUGAAGCAGAUCAUAAAACCUAGGAAAGACUUUCUGACCUACAUCUGAAGUGGGUCAGAGGUGCCCUUCCUAAAUGCAGAGAAAAGGAAUGUCCCUAUCUCCAAAGACAAGGGGACAAGCAAAAACUCUGGUAACGUUCCCCCCGUUUACUACAUUUAACUUGAACACUUUGUCCUAUCAUAUAUUUCCAUGACUUUCCACUAUUUAUCAUAUCUAGCAUGAAAACACUCGGGUUUAACCAUUUCUUCAGGUCUUCAUUCCCUUAUGAAGGUUCUUCCUGUGUCACAUAAAACUUACAUUAAAUAUAUUUGCAUGCCUUUUUUUGGUUUAAAGUGAGUCACAAUAGUCAGCCCAGAUUCACGGGGGGAGGACACACAGAAGAAGUGUCAAAGAACUUCUGGAUAUGUUUUAUUUUUUAAUUCUUUUGAGAUUGGCACCUGAGCUAACA